rnacentral:lncRNA from 10 species
UUUAUGUGUCAUGUUGACAAGGCCAUGGGUACCCAGUUAUGUGGUUAAACAUUAUUCUAGCCAUUUCUGUGAGGGGUUUUCUGAAUGAGAUUAACAUUUGAACCUGUGGACUGAGUAAAGCAGAGUGCCCUUGCUGAUGGGGUGGGCCUCAUCCAAUCCAUUGAGGAAGUGAAUAAAAUAAAGAGGCUGAGAAAGGGAAAAUUUGCUCUCUCUAUCUUGGAGCUGGACCACUGGUCUUCUUUUGCCCUCAGACUUGAACUUGGACUGGAACUUACACCAUCAGCUCUCCUGAUUCUCAGGCCUUUGGACUCAGUCUGGAACUCUACCAUCAGCUCUCCUGAUUCUCAGGCCUUUGGACUCAGUCUGGAACUCUACCAUCAGCUCUCCUGGGUCUCUUGCUGAAUACAGAUCUUGGGACUUCUCAGCCUUUGUAACUGUAUGAGGACCUGGGAGGACCGCAUUUUCUGGGAGAAGCCCUGGAAUACAAGAUUUGAUAUACUUAAAGGGAGCUCACAUUCCCAUCAACCUGGAGCAACUCACCUGGGAAUGUCUGAGUUGGCCUCAAAGUCUCAGCCAAAUUCGGACCUGUCUAAGGAAUGUGGAAGCUGAAACCACCUUCACCUGGAUCUUUGCCCCGUGGCAACAUCCUUGCCCUGUGAAUUGCUGCCUACAUAUAUGGAAGUUGAAGAGAGGAGACAUGUUUUAGCCAAACAGAUAACAUAAAUGAUUUUUAUUAUGGAAUUAAAUAAUUAUGUAGAUAUAUUAGAGCAAAGUUAUUUUAUCUGGAUUGUAUUUUGGCCUAUGUGUCCUAUUCAACAACAAUCUUUUUAAAAAAAUUUACAUCCUCCUGCA